rnacentral:rRNA from 1 species
AUUGAACGCUGGCGGCAGGCUUAACACAUGCAAGUCGAGCGGGGUGAUGGUGCUUGCACUAUCACUUAGCGGCGGACGGGUGAGUAAUGCUUAGGAAUCUGCCUAUUAGUGGGGGACAACAUCUCGAAAGGGAUGCUAAUACCGCAUACGUCCUACGGGAGAAAGCAGGGGAUCACUUGUGACCUUGCGCUAAGAGAUGAGCAUAAGUCGGAUUAGCUAGUUGGUGGGGUAAAGGCCUACCAAGGCGACGAUCUGUAGCGGGUCUGAGAGGAGGAUCCGCCACACUGGGACUGAGGCACGUCCCAGACUCCUACGGGAGGCAGCAGUGGGGAAUAUUGGACAAUGGGGGGAACCCUGAUCCAGCCAUGCCGCGUGUGUGAAGAAGGCCUUAUGGUUGUAAAGCACUUUAAGCGAGGAGGAGGCUCUUUUGGUUAAUACCCAAGAUGAGUGGACGUUACUCGCAGAAUAAGCACCGGCUAACUCUGUGCCAGCCGCCGCAGUAA